CGGGGGGGCAGCUUACCAUGCAGUCGAGCGGUAACAGAGAGUAGCUUGCUACUUUGCUGACGAGCGGCGGACGGGUGAGUAAUGCUUGGGAAUAUGCCUUAUGGUGGGGGACAACAGUUGGAAACGACUGCUAAUACCGCAUAACGUCUACGGACCAAAGGGGGGGAUCUUCGGACCUCUCGCCAUUUGAUUAGCCCAAGUGAGAUUAGCUAGUUGGUAAGGUAAAGGCUUACCAAGGCGACGAUCUCUAGCUGGUUUGAGAGGAUGAUCAGCCACACUGGGACUGAGACACGGCCCAGACUCCUACGGGAGGCAGCAGUGGGGAAUAUUGCACAAUGGGCGAAAGCCUGAUGCAGCCAUGCCGCGUGUGUGAAGAAGGCCUUCGGGUUGUAAAGCACUUUCAGUUGUGAGGAAAGGGGUGUAGUUAAUAGCUGCAUCCUGUGACGUUAGCAACAGAAGAAGCACCGGCUAACUUCGUGCCAGCAGCCGCGGUAAC
rnacentral:rRNA from 1 species